CUCAGAAUUCCAACUGCUUUUUAUUAAAAAAUAACAAAACAAAAUACCAAAACCCCACAAUACAACAGCACUACCCACCCUAACAAGCCUAGUGUAACAGGUUAGCCACGAACACAAGAAAGACGCCCAGCCACAUGCCUCACACUCCGCAGGUCACAGGGACAGUGCAGUGUGGCCGCCACACCCGCCGUGAAGUCAGCGAGGCUAAGCGCUGGCCAUGGGAGUAAAUAAACCUGACGCCCACAGUACCCGCCCAGUGGUAAGAUGGUAGGACAAAAUAAAAAGCAAAGGACUGAACGAGAUGCUUUGAAAUAGAACCACCCCAUGGACCAGAACCCUGAGCCAGUGAGGCCAAGUGUGGUAGCAGCAAGGGGCUUCCAGGUGGGCUGGGCACAGAGCCAGGGGUCUCCCCGAGUGUGGAGGGCAGGCAGGGCAAGCCAGCACCGCGGACCCUGAGCUGCCCCACCCUGCGAGGUGGGGUCCCCAGGCUGGUCCUUGGUCUCAGGGAGCCCCGCUGGAGGAGGCCCCGGGACCUGUCCAUGCCCCGCCCACCGCAAAGUGCCCUGACACACUACUUCCUGCACAGUGGUCCCUGCAGCUGCAGCUGGGCGCCCCCCUCCCCUUGGGCGGCAGUGGUCUCCAGCCAAGGCAGAGCCCCAGAGCAUGGCACAGGGGUGUUUCAAAGUCCCCGCCACCUGCCUGAGUGAAACAUCUCUCCUCCGGGCUGGGGGGCUCAGUGUGAUCAUGUGCCUAGCACACCAGGUCACCCCGGCCACACAGUGGGGCUGUCUGUCAGUGCAAUUCGUGGUCACGACAGUGACGUCCAAAUUCAGUAGUUCCACACACCCUGUGACAGCAGUUGGGUCCCUUCGAGGCUGCUGCGCUGCAGACAGCAUUAGGUGAGAAAACACCACCUCCUCGCCUCUGCCCCGUUUCUUUAAGCGAUAAUCAUCUCAGUGGUGUCAACACGACCCCGAAGGAAUUUAAAAUAAGAGAAAACUGGAAAGAAGGGGGAGGGAGCAGCCUGAGGUGACAGGGAGCCCUGUCCCCAGGGAGCCACGGGCAGGCGUUCACCUGCCAGGACUGAAUUCGUACCGGGCUGCACGUCCCCCAGGUGCCCCCCCACCACCACAGCACAGGGACAAGGCGGCUGGGCACCUGGCAGUGCCGGCACAGCUGUGGGAGGGCAGGGCCAGAAGCUGCUUUUCAGGGGUGUGUGACCUGGCAAGGCGCUGUUGCGCUCUGCUCGCUCGCUCAGGGGCAGUAGCGGCCCGGCUCCUCGGCAUUGGGCUAGGUCUCCUGCAGGGACCACAUGCAGGAGCUUCUGGCACAGGACGGUGGUGGAAUCUGCGGGAGAAGGGCAGGAGUGAGCGAGCGUGGGCCGGGGGUGCAAGCUGAGCCACGGUGUCCUCAGGAAGCCAGGGCCCUGCAGCCCGGCCACACCAUCCAGAGUAGCACAGGAGGUCGGAGACCUCAGCUUUCACAGAAACCUGCAGGGCUUACCGUGGACGCCAGGCCCUGCCCCAGGGUCUGCCCACAGCUCCUGGCCAGAGGCAGAGAGAGCUCACUGCCCCAUGCUGGCUGAUGGGGCAGGACCCACACCCACCCCUGGGGCCUCAGGUUCCAGGUGACGCCCCCUCCCGCAGCUCCACACCCAGCAUCAGCCUCGUCU
rnacentral:lncRNA from 1 species